rnacentral:rRNA from 1 species
GAUGAACGCUGGCGGCGUGCCUAAUACAUGCAAGUCGAGCGAAUGGAUUAAGAGCUUGCUCUUAUGAAGUUAGCGGCGGACGGGUGAGUAACACGUGGGUAACCUGCCCAUAAGACUGGGAUAACUCCGGGAAACCGGGGCUAAUACCGGAUAACAUUUUGAACAGCAUGGUUCGAAAUUGAAAGGCGUCUUCGGCUGUCCCUUAUGGAUGGACCCGGGUCGCAUUAGCUAGUUGGUGAGGUAACGGCUCACCAAGGCAACGAUGCGUAGCCGACCUGAGAGGGUGAUCGGCCACACUGGGACUGAGACACGGCCCAGACUCCUACGGGAGGCAGCAGUAGGGAAUCUUCCGCAAUGGACGAAAGUCUGACGGAGCAACGCCGCGUGAGUGAUGAAGGCUUUCGGGUCGUAAAACUCUGUUGUUAGGGAAGAACAAGUGCUAGUUGAAUAAGCUGGCACCUUGACGGUACCUAACCAGAAAGCCACGGCUAACUACGUGCCAGCCGCCGCGGUAA